ACCUACGGGGGGCAGCAGUGGGGAAUAUUGCACAAUGGGGGAAACCCUGAUGCAGCAACGCCGCGUGAGUGAAGAAGGUUUUCGGAUUGUAAAGCUCUGUUAGCAGGGAAGAGGAAGGACGGUACCUGCAGAGGAAGCCACGGCUAACUACGGGCCAGCAGCCGCGGUAAUACGUAGGUGGCAAGCGGUGUUUGGAAUAACUGGGCGGAAAGGAUGCGUAGGCGGGGAAACAAGUUAUAUUUUUAA
rnacentral:rRNA from 1 species